AACCGAGAACGACUGAUUUCAUAGUCGGCAGAGGCGCUACAGACGAUAAAGAGCUACAGAUUAAAUCAUGAAAUAAUCCACUGUAGGAAAAUAUUCUGUGGAUGAAUGCGAUAACGCAAGUCAAAUGUCAAAUAAAUCUUCCCCAUUGUUGUUUAUGGGUUUGUCAUGGACAUGACGUCUGUCAAUGUUGAUUAUUCGCUGUCAUCCAAAGAAAAAGCCUAUGCCGAUUUUAUUCAUUUCUGACGAUAUAAUCUGUGAUAAGUUGUAUGAUUUCGUGCCUCAUGCUUCCUGCACGUACUGGAUUGUGAUAUGUUUUCCCAUGUUCUCCAAUACGUAAUUUGUGAAUGUUUUGUUGGAUUAUCUUUUUCCUUAUCUGCUUUCAUAAAUGGUCAAUAAUCUGCGAAGAUUGUAGCUGUUUAUUGGUGUUGAAGGCUGUUAGAAAAUCCACGGCUUCCUAUCACAAAAGGCGUACGUUUUAAAGUUAUUCCUAAAAAUGCUCCAAAGAUUUUUUUUCAUCUGUAAAAAGUAUUUAUAUAAACAAUAUUCAUUCAUUCAACCGAAGGGUUCGGACGCCCACCCCCGACGGCUACAGCGAAUAAGGCAGCGACAUUUUCCAGACGUUUUCCGCUGUCUUCCAUCAUCGAAUCUGCGAAUAUCAAUUUGUGAUCGCUGAUUGAAUCAUCGGCUAAGAUGGAGGGGCCCCACCGUGGGGCGCCAUUUCCUGACAGCUCGGGGCUUCUCCAUUGGGCCCUCGCUGUUAAUGGAACAGGGGUGUGAAACGAUGGAAGAACUUGUCAUUUGGUUCCGAUUGACUAAAUCGACAUGUGCUUUAAGUUGCGAUCUAUCGAAGAUCUUGAAGGUUUUUGCCACUUUUGGACGCCUAAACUGAAGAGGAGGAAGCACUACCUGAUGAAGUUCUUCAUGCUUCAGUCGAAACAUGGGGUUUUUCGUGCGAUCUAUCCUGUAAGCCGACAAGCUCUUUGGGACUUUUGAGGCUUUGUCCCCCACAAAUCGACACAAGAACUAACAUUGUUUUUGAUUAAUGCUGAGCAUUACGCAUCUUUGAUAACGCAAGAUAGUAAUGAGAAUCAGCAUAUCUUCACAACCGGAACUGUAGGGGCAGUUUAGAGAGCCGAAUUACUCAGAAAUCCUGCUGAAACAGCUAUCAAUGUUACGCCGCCGUUCCAAGCAAAGAGAGCCAAGAGAACACUGUUGAUCAGGAAGUGGAAGGCCCAUAAGUGAUCCAAGUUUUGCUGUAGAAAACCAGAUGGUCCAAGCAGAAAAGAGCUCCGAUUUUGAGGGUCAAAAGAAAAGGCAAAUCCUGAUCCCAAGCAACAACAAAAGUUAAAAAUAAUCAUAUUAAUGCAGGAAAUCAAAGAAGCAGUAAGUAAAACGCAUUGAAACUAAUCCCCAAUUGUUUUAAAUAAUUAAAUAAAAAUUUGAUUAGUGCAAAAAACCACAAACAGAGCGACAGGCUUUCAAAGUGUUGCUGAUGGUGAGAAAAUACGGUUGGGUUGUUGCUAAAGCCGCGCCGCCAUCCACGAAUCCAUUUUGGAAAUUGGAAAAAAUCCAUCAAACGCGAUAACCAAACAUCUCGAGCCCUCAGGAGCGAAAAAAAUGUGUGUAAAAUGUCCCCGCCCGUAUCGAAUACACGCUCUUAGGGCCGUGGGCUUAGCAAAAAUACAUAAAUAUAAUGAAUACAAAUUGUCAAUCUGCCGCCCCAGGCAACUGAUUAAAUGGGGGCGGCGUGGGGCGGCCACCCUUCCGGUAGUCCUGAGGGUGAGAGUGAGGCAGGGCGGAGGUCACGCGGUGAAGUGGAUUAAGCCCUUGCGGAUGCGGGGACUUUUUCGGGGAGUGUCUAUACUGUCUACCCCACAGUGCAAGAAUUAAAUACAAAAAUUAUUUCAUCAGCCAUUUCCCUGACGUGAAAAGGGUUAAUUUGCACCGACCGACGAUUCCCCAUUCGAACGGUGCCCAUCCCCCCAGCCCGUACACAUGUAGGCCCUUUGUGCGGAAUAAAAAGUCGUAUUUGGGUUAUGUGAGGCUGCGAAGGAAAUAUGGGUCAAAUGGGGAAUAAGCCCUCGCUAAUCAAUCAAUUUUAGUUAGAAAAACGCUAUUGUCCGGUCCGCCCACACUGCACGCCAAACAGCGGGGCUUAAUCCAAAAUGAUGUAAUAAAAAUUCUAUUUCCCUCCCAACUAAAACCGUCUCGCAAUACCGACUUUGAGUACUUUGUUUAAUUUUUAAUAUGCCAUUAUUUGCGCCGCUGAUCCACUCUCCUCUAUUUGUUUUAGUCCGCAAUCGCUGAAAACCCCACAUAUAUACAAUUGUUAAUCUUGCUCUCCACUUUUAUUAAAUAUUCCCAUUGAGCCGAAGAAGGAGGAUGCGGAAUUAAAUAUAUCUUCUCCCUCUUUGCUUUAUUUCGCUGCGAUUUCAAUGCUUUGUGCGCAAUUUUCAACACAAAAACUGCCUACUGGCUUCAACAAUUCGAUUUUGCUCACAUGCCGGGUCCCUUUUGAUAAUUCUGAGCUUUGACGACAAAAAAAACAAAUCGCCACUGAUAUUAAUAAUGUGCAUAUGUUGGCACGCAUUAAAAAAUUGCCGAAAUGUUCGUCCAUUACUGCGAUUACCAUGCAAAAGCACGGGGGGAACGCUAACAUUGAAAAAGAGAUUCAACAUGUCCUAACAAAUAUUCGUAUGUUCAACCACCGAUGGUGGCGCUGCGAAACGUCAAAUUACCGGUUGUCGAGUGACAGUAAGACAGUAAGACAGUAAGACUGUCAAAGAGACAGACUUCCGAGGCCAUUCCUUGAAACUAAUGGGUUUUCAGGUCUCCGUUCGGUAGAAUAUCUCCCUGACGUUUC